rnacentral:miRNA from 1 species
GAGACAUCGGGGACGAAUUAGCUGCCGACUCAUUCAUUCAAGCACUCAGUAGAAUACGUAACGAGAAAUAAGUUAAAGCUACUGGUGAUUGAGUGAAUGAUGCGGGAGAUAGUUUCUUCCCUCUCUGUCUG